GACCAGAAAUGUUUCAGUCAGAGCAUCACCCUGCUCUGCUUUUUUGGCAUUGUGGGAUAGCUCGCCCACAGAUUGAGCUCGCCGGACUAGUUUUGCCUGACCCAGUUUCCGGUUGUUUGCAAAAUGGUGCUGAAUUUGCCAACAUGACAAGGUG